rnacentral:rRNA from 1 species
AUUGAACGCUGGCGGCAUGCCUUACACAUGCAAGUCGAACGGCAGCACGGGAGCAAUCCUGGUGGCGAGUGGCGAACGGGUGAGUAAAGUAUCGGAACGUGCCCAGUCGUGGGGGACAACGUAGCGAAAGUUACGCUAAUACCGCAUACGAUCUAUGGAUGAAAGCGGGGGAUCGCAAGACCUCGCGCGAUUGGAGCGGCCGAUAUCAGAUUAGGUAGUUGGUGGGGUAAAGGCCCACCAAGCCGACGAUCUGUAGCUGGUCUGAGAGGACGACCAGCCACACUGGGACUGAGACACGGCCCAGACUCCUACGGGAGGCGGCAGUGGGGAAUUUUGGACAAUGGGCGAAAGCCUGAUCCAGCCAUGCCGCGUGCAGGAUGAAGGCCUUCGGGUUGUAAACUGCUUUUGUACGGAACGAAAAGGACUGCCCUAAUACGGUGGUCCCAUGACGGUACCGUAAGAAUAAGCACCGGCUAACUACGUGCCAGCCGCCGCCGUAA